UACGUAGGGGGCAAGCGUUAUCCGGAUUCAUUGGGCGUAAAGAGCGCGUAGGCGGCUUGUUAAGUCAGAUGUGAAACCUGGGGGCUCAACCCGCAGCGUGCAUCUGAAACUGGCAGGCUUGAGUCUGGUAGAGGAAAGUGGAAUUCCCAGUGUAGCGGUGAAAUGCGCAGAUAUCAGGAAGAACACCCGUGGCGAAAGCGGCUCUCUGGAACGGUACUGACGCUGAGACGCGAAAGCGUGGGGAGCGAACAGG
rnacentral:rRNA from 1 species